rnacentral:rRNA from 1 species
GUUGUAUGGUUAAGUGACUAAGCGUACACGGUGGAUGCCUGGGCAGUCAGAGGCGAUGAAGGACGUACUAACUUGCGAUAAGCGCAGAUAAGGCAGUAAGAGCCGUUUGAGUCUGCGAUUUCCGAAUGGGGAAACCCAACUGCAUAAGCAGUUACUGUUAACUGAAUACAUAGGUUAACAGAGCAA